UAUUUGAAUAAUUGAACUUUAAUUAAUUUGCAUUUAUGGUCAUACAACCCAUAAAAGCAUAAAAUUAAUCCAAAUUUUGGCCCCCGCCGGUCUUCCUUAUCGGCUUAUAUUCUGUGUACCUUUUCUGGCCACUUUUUCCCCGCGAUGAGAAUUGGACUAGUAUUUGUUUUUUGCUCUGGCUGGCUAUGCUCCGCUGGCGUUGGCGCAUUCAUUCCGCGGGAUCCUUGUGAAAAAGCAAAAUUCCUUUUUUCUUGCUGAUUUUUCUGGCUUAAGUAAUGUAGUAAAAGGAAUGCACUAGCACGAUCACCAAGUAUCUGAUCAGCCCAGUUGACAAACCAGAACAUGACUUCCGAGAUCCAACCACCGACGGGCAAUGUAACGGCUUGUAAAUGUAAUUACUGUACUUUAGUGCGUCAAAAUCGGAUACGGAGAACUGGAGGUCACCGGAUACAAAGAUGACAAGGCAACAAACAUUCUGAAAUAGCUGAAUAUUGCUGAUUGGAGAGAAUUAGUGUCAUAAUAAUUAUCGAAGUAAGCCGAUACUCCGUGCCUUCCCUUCAGUUAUUCAACUGCGUCAUUUCUCACCAGGCAGGAACUCUGAUUAUUUCUCACCAGGCAGGAAUUCCCGGUGCGUUUGCCUAAUUUAGUCUAAAUCAGAAACCUUGAAGUACCGUCCGGUAUCUCAGUUGUGGAAGAGCCUUGCGUCAAAACCGUAGCCGAGUGUUUAUUCUGGAUCGUGGACUGCUUGGAAUGAUUUCUGUCUGUUCGAGACGAAAGCCGAAGCAAUACUACCUUCCAGCGACAGCGACCUCCGUUUAAGUAAAAAAAGCGGGUUUUCAAAACGGAAAAAGUUUUUACCAGUGAUGGGCCUGGCGGGUAAGAGUAUUAGGCUGUUUUGGCCGUAUAUCAGUCAUCACCAUGAAUUUCGUACCACUUCAUUGCAAAUUUUCAUACUGCGUGGUAACAUGGAAGUUUUUCUAAAUCACACCAGCUGGCUGACGGGGGCAUUUGGAACUGUUCACUAUGUGUGCUCCUGUUUGACCUUUUGGAAAACGGUGGCGGCCGUUAUUCUUGGCUUGGUAAUAUUUGUUGCUAUCAUUUUCGUUUUUGUGGGUAUCUGGUACCUGUAUCAAGUCUGUGCCCGCAAAAUCAGUCGACCCUUUCGGGAACUUUUUCGGGGUUUUUUGCGUUAUGCCGGCUAUCCAGCCCCCUUGCCAGAACAUCUGCCACUCCAAAAUGGCCAUGCUGGCGCGGCGCACGAUUGAAAAAAGCCUUACAGGAUCAGGAUUUUAAUGAUUUUUCUGUGCUCUGCUGUGAUCAACAGCUGAGCUUGCCAUAAACCGCUGUUAGUUGUGUGCUUAUUAAGAAACGCCGUUCUUGGCCUCCCCUCCGGCCGUUCUGGCCAACACGGCGCCCCUAACCUCUCCUCUCUGGGUUUGCGUUCAUAUUACUGAUAUUCUGUGCAUCCCAUUGGGCAUCUCCAGUAUCCCUCUCCAGUAUCCCUGGCCGCCGCUUACUGACUGCUGCUUAUUUGUGGCUGCCGGACGCCGACUACCAUUCCCAUUGUACUUGUAUACUCCCGUCGCCCAUUACGCUUUAUAUAAUCUCCUGCAGUCUAAUGGCUCGAACGGCUUUCCUUCUUUCCCCUACGCGUUCGGCAGCACAAGUUAAAGAGACCCACAACCCCCUGACUAACGUCCAUGCAGCCGCGCAACGCCGUUGCGUCCAUCGUCCACGACGGUCUGCAACCACGGCAUGGCAUGAACUGGAUGUGGAAUACUGUGGUUCUACACCUUAGCCGCCGUUAGCGUCUC